GAUGAACAAGAGGAUUAGAAAUAGAAGUUGGAGAGCUUUUAAAGCUUUGGAAAACUAGAACACUUGAUAACUUUUGGAAGCUUGGAAGCAAGAAUACUUUGGAGAUCUCAAGAUGUGGAGUGAAAGCUUUUUGAAGUGCUUGGAGUGUGAUGAACGAAAAUGGAAGGGAUACCUUUUUAUUUAUAGCCUUGGUCACUUGAUGUCUUUCCUUGGAUCUUCAUUGGAUGGUUCCUUGAUUACUCACAUGAGUCCAAGACUUGUCUUCUCUUUUCUUAGGAAGAUUCUGUUAUGAAUAGUGGAUUCCAUCCAAGCUAACUUCUGUUAAUAGUGAAAUCCAUCCAAGAUAGCUUUUGUU
rnacentral:lncRNA from 1 species